ensembl:snRNA U6 U6 spliceosomal RNA
AUGCUUGCUUCGGCAGCACAUAGACUAAAAUUGGAAAAAUACAGAGAUUAGCAUGGUCCCUGCAUAAGGAUGAUACAUAAAUUUGUGAGGCAUUCCAUUUAAAA